rnacentral:rRNA from 1 species
UACGGGGGGAGCAAGCGUUGUUCGGAUUUACUUGGCGUAAAGGGCGCGUAGGCGGCCAGCACAAGUCAGUUGUGAAAUCUCCGAGCUUAACUCGGAAAGGUCAACUGAUACUGUGCGGCUAGAGUGCGGAAGGGGCAACUGGAAUUCUUGGUGUAGCGGUGAGAUGCGUAGAUAUCAAGAGGAACACCUGCGGCGAAGGCGGGUUGCUGGGCCGACACUGACGCUGAGGUGCGAAAGCGUGGGGAGUAAACAGG